rnacentral:rRNA from 1 species
CAACUCGCCUGCAUGAAGUCGGAAUUGCUAGUAAUCGUAGGUCAGCAUACUACGGUGAAUACGUUCCCGGGCCUUGUACACACCGCCCGUCAAACCAUGAGAGUUGGCAACACCCGAAGUCGGUAGUCUAACCGCAAGGAGGACGCCGCCGAAGGUGGGGUUGAUGAUUAGGGUUAAGUCGUAACAAGGUAAC